ensembl:lncRNA
CAAAAAAGCACUGGAAAACUAUGAUUUUACAGAUCCAGACACUUCAAAGGAGAAUAAAGCCAAAUCCCACAAGCCUUCACCAUGGAGCAGCUGAGUUCAGCCAACAGCCUGUUCGCCUUGAGCUGUUCCACACCCUGAGUGAAAGCAGCCCCACAGGAAACAUCUUCUUCUCUCCCUUCAGCAUUUCUUCUGCCUUGGCCAUGGUCUUUCUGGGGACCAAAGGCAGCACUGCACCCAGCUCUCUAAGGAAUACUUGGCUUCAAUCCAGAAAAUGUAUGGUGCUGAUUUGGCCCCUGGGUAUUUUCAGCAUGCCUCUGAGGAUAGAGAAGAAGAUAAACCAGUGAGUCAAAGGUCAAGCCGAAGGGAAAAUUCCAGAACUGUUGGCCGUGGGUGUGGUAGACAGCAUGACCAAACUUGUGCGGUGAAUGCCAUCUACUUCAAGGGGAUGUGGGAGGAGAAAUUCAUGAAACGAGACACAACAGAUGCUCCAUUCCGGCUGAAUAAGACAGGAGCCUAGCAUAAUUGUCCUCUGAGAGGCCUUACCCAGCAGCUGACCAAGACAGCCAAACAGAAGAUGGAGCUAAGGGACUCUUCUGGAAGAGUUGGGGGAAGGAUUGAAGGCCCUGAAGGGAAGACCAACAGAGUCUACUAACCUGGUCCCUUG